GUUCCAGUCUCAGCCAACCAGGCGGUCACCCUCACAUCUGGACGGCCCUGAGUAAGGAGUGUCUGUCUCUGUUGUCAGACCUGACUGAGCGGCUGGUAGCCCACCAUGACACUGUAGCUACUAACGGACGGGCCAAGUCCCAGUCUACAGGAAGCAACAAGCGGCCCACCAUCUCCUCGGAAAGCUCCGUAUCUUCUGUCG